UUAAUCAGGAUUUCUGGAGCAAGGAAGCUGAAAGAAACAUUCCAUGACAAAUUGAUUGAUUGGUGCCAGGGACAGGGGUGGCAAUUGCCUCUCAAGGCAGACACCACGUUUGAGAAAAAAGGCCCAGAAGAGAUGUACAAUCAGAAAGUACAGUAAAGUGAAUGUUACUUGAUGGGUUCUUCUUUAGGAUUGCAUACAGAACCACAUAGCACACAAUAGCCACAAGCCUAAUGCAAUGUUUUUGUUUUCUGUAAUUAUUCUUUUUCUAAUAAUACAUACUGUACGUACACAUACAUUCUGUACAUACACUAUAUUGCCAAAAGUAUUUGGUCACCUGCCUUGACCCCCAUAUGAACUUCAGUCACAUCCUAUUCUUAAUUCA